AGAGUUUGAUCAUGGCUCAGGAUGAACGCUGGCGGCGUGCUUAACACAUGCAAGUCGGACGAACCUUCGGGUUAGUGGCGGACGGGUGAGUAACGCGUGAGAAUCUGCCCUCAGGAGGGGGAUAACGGUUGGAAACGACCGCUAAUACCCCAUAUGCCUAUUGGUGAAAUGAAUUUCGCCUGAGGAUGAGCUCGCGUCUGAUUAGCUAGUUGGUGUGGUAAUGGCUCACCAAGGCUUCGAUCAGUAGCUGGUCUGAGAGGAUGAUCAGCCACACUGGGACUGAGACACGGCCCAGACUCCUACGGGAGGCAGCAGUGGGGAAUUUUCCGCAAUGGGCGAAAGCCUGACGGAGCAACGCCGCGUGAGGGACGAAGGCCUCUGGGCUGUAAACCUCUUUUCUCAAGGAAGAAGAUAUGACGGUACUUGAGGAAUAAGCCACGGCUAAUUCCGUGCCAGCAGCCGCGGUAAUACGGGAGUGGCAAGCGUUAUCCGGAAUUAUUGGGCGUAAAGCGUCCGCAGGCGGCUUUUCAAGUCUGCUGUUAAAACGUGGAGCUUAACUCCAUCAUGGCAGUGGAAACUGAAAGGCUUGAGUAUGGUAGGGGCAGAGGGAAUUCCCGGUGUAGCGGUGAAAUGCGUAGAUAUCGGGAAGAACACCAGUGGCGAAGGCGCUCUGCUGGGCCAUUACUGACGCUCAUGGACGAAAGCCAGGGGAGCGAAAGGGAUUAGAUACCCCUGUAGUCCUGGCCGUAAACGAUGAACACUAGGUGUCGGGGGAAUCGACCCCUU
rnacentral:rRNA from 1 species